rnacentral:snRNA from 1 species
AUCUCUUGAACAUCGGUU